UCGAUUGGUGGACAUUCUGGCAUUAAUUUUUCGAGAGAUGACUUUGAAGAUCACCUGGUGGCUGUAAUGACACUUGAGAGUCAACGAAAGUGGCAAUUAGGCAAAUGCAAUGAAAAGCAAAGAUCAAUUUCAUUUUGAAAUUGUAGAACCAAAAAAAAGAUAGGAAGGAUACAAAAAUUUAAAUUAAAUUUAGAGAGACUGUGCACGACCUAAAUGAUUAUAAAACCAUAAAUCAUUAAAAGUACCAAAAGAUUACGCAGAAUUGGUUAUGGGAAUUUCUGUACAAAAAUGGCAACAGGAAAAACAUGAGAAAAGAGGUUAAGAUAUAUCUACUUUCAAUUAGAAAUAAUUAUAAUAAUUACAACCAUGUGUAAUUUAAGCAAGCGUCAGUAUUAUCAUGAGUAAAAAUUUUUCACAUAAAAUUUUCUACCAAAUACAUAUUUAAAUCCCAAUGAUUUUAACUCAUCCUUAAUUAAAGA